AGAUGGGCUCGCGUCUGAUUAGAUAGUUGGUGAGGUAGCGGCUCACCAAGUCGACGAUCAGUAGCCGGACUGAGAGGUUGAACGGCCACAUUGGGACUGAGACACGGCCCAGACUCCUACGGGAGGCAGCAGUGGGGGAUAUUGGACAAUGGGGGAAACCCUGAUCCAGCGACGCCGCGUGUGGGAAGACGGUCCUCUGGAUUGUAAACCACUGUCCCCAGGGACGAAGAUGACGGUACCUGGGGAGGAAGCUCCGGCUAACUACGUGCCAGCAGCCGCGGUAAUACGUAGGGAGCGAGCGUUGUCCGGAAUUACUGGGUGUAAAGGGAGCGUAGGCGGGACUGCAAGUUGGGUGUCAAAUCUACCGGCUCAACCGGUAGCCGCACUCAAAACUGCAGUUCUUGAGUGAAGUAGAGGCAGGCGGAAUUCCUAGUGUAGCGGUGAAAUGCGUAGAUAUUAGGAGGAACACCAGUGGCGAAGGCGGCCUGCUGGGCUUUUACUGACGCUGAGGCUCGAAAGUGUGGGGAGCAAACAGGAUUAGAUACCCUGGUAGUCCACACCGUANACGAUGAUCACUAGGU
rnacentral:rRNA from 1 species